CUGCUUUUCCAGCUGUGGGCUCAGCUGUCCUGAAGACAGAGGACAGUGGCACAGGAUGUGGAAGGAGCACAGCGCACCCUCAGCUCCGGGAGGAGGUCAUGUUCCCGGGAAUCUUUCCAUCACCCUGGGGCUGCUGGGCCAGGCACGUUCCCUUCCUUAUUGGAAUCAGAAAACACAACUAGGAGGCUGUUGCAUUAGAACAGAGGAGAAAGGAUGAAGGUCUGUCUUAGAAAAUGGGAACAAGCAACUAGUCUUGAGGAAAAUGACUUGAACAACACACAACAGCCAAGAAUCAAAGCCCCCAUCAUUCACCCUGACAGACAGACAAGGCUCGUAUCAAGGAACACAAGAGUGCUACAAGA